UGGGGAAUAUUGCACAAUGGGGGAAACCCUGAUGCAGCGACGCCGCGUGAGCGAAGAAGGCUUUCGAGUCGUAAAGCUCUGUCCUAUGAGAAGAUAAUGACGGUAUCAUAGGAGGAAGCCCUGGCUAAAUACGUGCCAGCAGCCGCGGUAAUACGUAUGGGGCGAGCGUUGUCCGGAAUUAUUGGGCGUAAAGGGUACGUAGGCGGUUUGGUAAGCGUGUUGUGAAAUGUAGGAGCUCAACUUCUAGAUUGCAGCGCGAACUGUCAGACUUGAGUGCGCACAACGUAGGCGGAAUUCAUGGUGUAGCGGUGAAAUGCUUAGAUAUCAUGAAGAACUCCGAUUGCGAAGGCAGCUUACGGGAGCGCAACUGACGCUGAAGCUCGAAGGUGCGGGUAUCGAACAGG
rnacentral:rRNA from 1 species